rnacentral:rRNA from 1 species
UGGGGAAUAUUGCACAAUGGGCGAAAGCCUGAUGCAGCGACGCCGCGUGAGGGAUGACGGCCUUCGGGUUGUAAACCUCUUUCAGCAGGGACGAAGCGCAAGUGACGGUACCUGCAGAAGAAGCACCGGCUAACUACGUGCCAGCAGCCGCGGUAAUACGUAGGGUGCAAGCGUUGUCCGGAAUUACUGGGCGUAAAGAGUUCGUAGGCGGUUUGUCGCGUCGUUUGUGAAAACCAGCAGCUCAAAUGCUGGCUUGCAGUCGAUACGGGCAGACUUGAGUACUGCAGGGGAGACUGGAAUUCCUGGUGUAGCGGUGAAAUGCGCAGAGAUCAGGAGGAAAACCGGUGGCGAAGGCGGGUCUCUGGGCAGUAACUGACGCUGAGGAACGAAAGCGUGGGUAGCGAACAGG